UACGUAGGGAGCAAGCGUUGUCCGGAAUCAUUGGGCGUAAAGCGCGCGUAGGCGGCCUCAUAAGUCCGUUGUGAAAGUCAAAGGCUCAACCUUUGAAAGCCGAUGGAUACUGUGAGGCUAGAGUCCGGAAGAGGCGAGUGGAAUUCCUGGUGUAGCGGUGGAAUGCGCAGAUAUCAGGAGGAACACCGGUGGCGAAGGCGGCUUCCUGGACCGACACUGACGCUGAGGCGCGAAAGCUAGGGGAGCAAACGGG
rnacentral:rRNA from 1 species